rnacentral:rRNA from 1 species
UGGGGAAUCUUAGACAAUGGGCGCAAGCCUGAUCUAGCCAUGCCGCGUGUGUGAUGAAGGCCUUAGGGUCGUAAAGCACUUUCGCCAGGGAUGAUAAUGACAGUACCUGGUAAAGAAACCCCGGCUAACUCCGUGCCAGCAGCCGCGGUAAUACGGAGGGGGUUAGCGUUGUUCGGAAUUACUGGGCGUAAAGCGCACGUAGGCGGAUUAGAAAGUUGGGGGUGAAAUCCCGGGGCUCAACCCCGGAACUGCCUCCAAAACUCCUAGUCUAGAGUUCGAGAGAGGUGAGUGGAAUUCCGAGUGUAGAGGUGAAAUUCGUAGAUAUUCGGAGGAACACCAGUGGCGAAGGCGGCUCACUGGCUCGAUACUGACGCUGAGGUGCGAAAGUGUGGGGAGCAAACAGGAUUAGAUACCCUGGUAGUCCACACCGUAAAACGAUGAAUGUCCAGUCGUCGGAUAGUAUACUAUUCGGUGACAC